rnacentral:rRNA from 1 species
AUUGAACGCUGGCGGCAUGCCUUACACAUGCAAGUCGAACGGCAGCACGGGAGCAAUCCUGGUGGCGAGUGGCGAACGGGUGAGUAAUAUAUCGGAACGUGCCCAGUGAUGGGGGAUAGCCCGGCGAAAGACCGGAUUAAUACCGCAUACGACCUACGGGUGGAAAGCAGGGGAGUCGCAAGACCUUGCGUCAUUGGAGCGGCCGAUAUCAGAUUAGCUUGNGGUUGGGGUAAAGGACCUACCAAGGCGACGAUCUGUAGCUGGUCUGAGAGGACGACCAGCCACACUGGGACUGAGACACGGCCC